rnacentral:rRNA from 1 species
GCUCCGCAAGGGGAGUGGCAGACGGGUGAGUAACGCGUGGGAACGUACCCUUUCCUGCGGAAUAGCUCCGGGAAACUGGAAUUAAUACCGUAUAUGCCCUACGGGGGAAAGAUUUAUCGGUCAAGGAUCGGCCCGCGUUGGAUUAGCUAGUUGGUGGGGUAAAGGCCUACCAAGGCGACGAUCCAUAGCUGGUCUGAGAGGAUGAUCAGCCACAUUGGGACUGAGACACGGCCCAAACUCCUACGGGAGGCAGCAGUGGGGAAUAUUGGACAAUGGGCGCAAGCCUGAUCCAGCCAUGCCGCGUGAGUGAUGAAGGCCUUAGGGUUGUAAAGCUCUUUCACCGGAGAAGAUAAUGACGGUAUCCGGAGAAGAAGCCCCGGCUAACUUCGUGCCAGCAGCCGCGGUAAUUCAAGGGGCCUAGCGUUGUUACGGAAUUACUGGGCGUAAAGCGCAC